rnacentral:lncRNA from 1 species
GAAAGGGAAAUUGAGUCCUCGGUUCAUUAGGCCUUUUGAGGUAAUUCGGAGGAUUGGGGAGGUGGUUUAUGAGCUUGCUUUACCACCUGUCACACAUCCUUUUUCCUACACCUGCAAGGGUAUAAGGGAGUUUUUUGCAAUUUAAGUGACAAUCGAAACAGGGAUUAUUUAUUUAUGAUUCAAAUUUGCCACUUGGUAUAGUUUAUGGUAUCCCAAGUUACAAGUUUUAAAUCGCAAAUCGAGGAAAGAUUGACUAUGAUUUACAGUCCGCGAACAUAAAAAUAUGUGUAAGGAAUUUU